UACGGGGGGAGCAAGCGUUGUUCGGAUUUACUGGGCGUAAAGGGCGCGUAGGCGGUCAGCACAAGUCAGUUGUGAAAUCUCCGGGCUUAACUCGGAAAGGUCAACUGAUACUAUGCGACUAGAGUGCAGAAGGGGCAACUGGAAUUCUCGGUGUAGCGGUGAAAUGCGUAGAUAUCGAGAGGAACACCUGCGGCGAAGGCGGGUUGCUGGGCUGACACUGACGCUGAUGCGCGAAAGCCAGGGGAGCGAACGGG
rnacentral:rRNA from 1 species